rfam:Heterocephalus glaber contig210919, whole genome shotgun sequence.
AGAUGUGAGGGCGAGCUGGCCGCGACAUCAGUCCCCGCAUUGAUCGCCAGGGUUGACUCCACUGAUCUGGCUGGCGAGGCAGGUGUGCCCUUUCUCCCUCACCACUCCACGUGCGUCCGUCCGGAAGCUGCGCGCUUGGUCGAAGAGGACGACUACCCCGGAUAGAGGAGGAGUGUCUUCUCGGUCAAAGGUAUUCGUGUAGCCGUGCUCCCCUGCUAGGACCUCCAAACAAGCGCUCAAGGUCCAUUUGAAAUAGAGUCUUGUUAAAGUUGCCCAGACUGGCCUUGACCUUGCAGUCCUCCUGACU